UUUAGGAGGAGCAGCUGCAGGGGCCUUACUGUAUGCAACAGCAUGCAACUGGGGCUAGCUGUCUGGGGGUGGCACACUGCCCACUGCAGGACUUGCCGUCCUCCAUGAGGGGCAGAAUAGCAUGCUUCCUCGUUGUGGUUGCAUUUGCCUUGUUCCUGCUGUGGGUGAUAAGACACAAAGGAGGCUGAGCUGUCUGCCCAGAGGGAAAGAGCAAGGAUGGAAAAUUCAUGGGGCAAAUCCUGGUGGUGGCAUCUUACUUAAUGUCUGCAACUGAGGCCCAGCUCUCUGCCCAGAAAAAUUGUCUGCUUGAAGAACAGUGGCAAAAAGACAUCAUCAUGUUAGCCUUUGUUCUGUGAGUAAAAGUUACUAAGACUCACAGCCCAUCAAGUUGCAGAGGAUAAAGUGGCUGUUGCUAUGACAGUGGUUCAGUGCUCAGCCACAAUGUAAGACCAUGACCAAGUAUCUGUCACCCCCUCCAAUGCUCAGAGAAUACAGCAGCAGAAGAGCGGGGUGGAAAGAAAGCCCGAGGAAGACUGGAGUGCUGUACCCAUCUUUAGAGCAAAACAUAGCCUUUACCAUCUUCAAACAGCCUCUCCCCAGCUGCAUGGGCUUUCGGGAGUAUCUGAGCAAGUAGACUAACUUGCUAAUCUUUAGAAGCGGAAUAAAUUUAUGCUAGGAUGGGACUUUUCUGCGGUGCACCUGUUUUAAGGUCAUCCACACUUAUUAAGUUAACACUUCAUCCAAUGCUUCUCUAAGCACGCCCGGUAAACUCAUUGGUUCGCCAAGAGAACAUUCACUUCUGCGGUCUAUUGCUGGUGUCCCAUUUAGAGCAGGCAGUUAUUUGCCCAGUCUCUCUUGGAAAAGUUAACGCAACAACUCUACCCGCAUUAAGCUUGAUUUUCUUCACAUACAGCAGCUAACGCAAAAUUCAGUACUGUACCCAACUUAACGCAAACGUGAAAAUUAAGUUUGAGACAGGAUCUCAGUAUGGAACCGUGGUCGGUUGCCUCCACGUCCUGAAUGCUGAGAUUAGAGACGGGCACCACCACGCCCAGCCCUAAAUCAUUUUUAAGAGCACAACAAGGUCCUCAUAUGAUC
rnacentral:lncRNA from 1 species